rnacentral:piRNA from 1 species
UGAGAUGUGAAGAUCCACCUUUAAUCUAG